UACGGAGGGGGCUAGCGUUGUUCGGAAUUACUGGGCGUAAAGCGCACGUAGGCGGCUUUGUAAGUUAGAGGUGAAAGCCCGGAGCUUAACUCCGGAACUGCCUUUAAGACUGCAUCGCUUGAACAUCGGAGAGGUAAGUGGAAUUCCGAGUGUAGAGGUGAAAUUCGUAAGAUAUUCGGAAGAACACCAGUGGCGAAGGCGACUUACUGGACGAUUGUUGACGGCUGAGGUGCGAAAGCGUGGGGAGCAAACAGG
rnacentral:rRNA from 1 species